rnacentral:rRNA from 1 species
CGCUGGCGGCAGGCCUAACACAUGCAAGUCGAACGGUAACAGGAAUCAGCUUGCUGAUUCGCUGACGAGUGGCGGACGGGUGAGUAAUGUCUGGGAAACUGCCUGAUGGAGGGGGAUAACUACUGGAAACGGUAGCUAAUACCGCAUAACGUCGCAAGACCAAAGAGGGGGACCUUCGGGCCUCUUGCCAUCGGAUGUGCCCAGAUGGGAUUAGCUAGUAGGUGGGGUAACGGCUCACCUAGGCGACGAUCCCUAGCUGGUCUGAGCGGAUGACCAGCCACACUGGAACU